rnacentral:rRNA from 1 species
CCUACGGGAGGCUGCAGUAGGGAAUAUUGCUCAAUGGGGGAAACCCUGAAGCAGCAACGCCGCGUGGAGGAUGAAGGUUUUAGGAUUGUAAACCCCUUUUGUUAGAGAAGAUUAUGACGGUAUCUAACGAAUAAGCACCGGCUAACUCCGUGCCAGCAGCCGCGGUAAUACGGAGGUGGCAAGCGUUACCCGGAUUCACUGGGCGUAAAGAGUGCGUAGGCGGGGUGAUAAGUCAGAUGUGAAAUCCUGGAGCUUAACCACAGAACUGCAUUUGAAACUGUUACUCUGGAGUGUAGGAGAGGUAGGUGGAAUUCUUAGUGUAGGGGUAAAAUCCGUAGAGAUCAAGAGGAAUACUCAUUGCGAAGGCGACCUACUGGAACAUUACUGACGCUGAUGCACGAAAGCGUGGGGAGCAAACAGGAUUAGAUACCCUUGUAGUC